rnacentral:rRNA from 1 species
CCUACGGGAGGCAGCAGUGAGGAACAUUGGUCAAUGGGCGUAAGCCUGAACCAGCCAAGUCGCGUGAGGGAUGAAGGUUCUAUGGAUCGUAAACCUCUUUUAUAAGGGAAUAAAGUGUGGGACGUGUCCUGUUUUGUAUGUACCUUAUGAAUAAGGAUCGGCUAACUCCGUGCCAGCAGCCGCGGUAAUACGGAGGAUCCGAGCGUUAUCCGGAUUUAUUGGGUUUAAAGGGUGCGUAGGCGGCCUUUUAAGUCAGCGGUGAAAGUCUGUGGCUCAACCAUAGAAUUGCCGUUGAAACCGGGAGGCUUGAGUAUGUUUGAGGCAGGCGGAAUGCGUGGUGUAGCGGUGAAAUGCUUAGAUAUCACGCAGAACCCCGAUUGCGAAGGCAGCCUGCCAAGCCAUGACUGACGCUGAUGCACGAAAGCGUGGGGAUCAAACAGGAUUAGAUACCCGGGUAGUC